rnacentral:lncRNA from 1 species
GAUCCAGAACAUACUGGUAGAGGCAAGCCGUGGAGAGGUGGUGCUCACCUCGAGGCCCCGCAUCAUUGCCCUACCACCAGUCAGCAUGAACAGGGCAGAUACGCUGCUGCAGAUGUCACAAGGGGAAGUUCUCUGCUCUGGGAUACAGCAUCCUGACUGUUUGCUGGUGUCAGCAUCCAGCCCCUCUUACAUGACUGCCUAGAUUUGCCCCUGGUCCCUUUUUACUGUUCUGCAAGUAAACCGUUUAGUUCUACACCCUAA